rnacentral:lncRNA from 1 species
UUCAAAUUGGAGGCUCUACUUUUUAAGCCAAGUGUUGGCCUGUUUCCUACCUCCAUUGGGUAACUAAUCCUGGUUGGUUUUCUUUGCAAGCCUUCUCUCCCACAGGUGAACCAUUACCAAGGACUCUGCCACUUAAAAUCCUUCUGAAAAAAUGCCACUCUCUGCCCAUCUCACAGAGUAUCCCCAUGGAGCUGGACCAAGUGGGCUGGAGGAGACCUAUGAUGCUUUGCAUUGGUAAAUUGUACUAGGCCCCGAAGAUGCUAGAAAUCCGCAAGAACAUUGGAGACUACUGGAAGCUCCGGGAACCAGGAAACAAGCCAGUUAAUGAAAAAUUUCUUCAGCCGGGAGCACACCCAAGACGGCCGAAUAGGAACACCUCCAGCCUCCAGCUUCCAGCAUGAGUGACACAGAAGACGGGUGAUUUCUGCAUUUUCAACUGAGGUACUGGGUUCAUCUCCCUGGGGAGUUCCAGACAAUUGGUGCUGGUCAGCUGCUGCAGCCCGACCAGCGAGAGCUGAAGCAGGGUGAGGCAUUGCCGCACCUGGGAAGAACAAGGGGGAAGCAAAACCCUUUUCCUAGCCAAGGGAAACUGAGACACACAACAUCUGGAAAAUCGGGUAACUCCCACCCUAAUACUGUGCUUUACCAAGGGUCAUAGCAAAUGGCACACCAGGAGAUUAUAUCCCAC